UAUCUUUCAUGUUAUUUAAAUUUUUCACGAGAGAACGAACCGCUUUUAUAAUAAAAGAUAAAGGUUUUGCAUCUUGAAAUCCGACGCACACACAGCAAGCUGGACGGGCGGGGGCACUGGGUGGGGACCGGGUCCAGGAGCCCCUUCUGCCCCUGUUCCCCCCGGUUCCAGUUCUCCCUCCAAGGGGCUGAGCCCACAUUCCCGGAGGGGCGAAGGAACGGGCAGCAGACAUGUACUGAGCAGGGAAGGGCAAAUGCAGAGUCGUCUGCAGGCUGGAGCCCAGGGCAGGUGCCGUGGGCGUCCUUGGCCGUGGCCGCUCCCUUGGGGCAGGCGCCUCCCUCAAAGUUUCCUGUAGCUUCAACAUUUCCAGGUUUGGCCGAUGGUGCAGUGUUUUGGGGCGGGCGCAUCUCCCGUUGACAAGUCACACACUCAAACGCCUUGAGGGGACUGGGCCGGCCCCAUGUUCUCCCAGGGACCCUCUGGGCGAGCUCGUGGCCCCCACAGGAGGGAGUUAAAACAGCCUUCACCGCCCGUGGGACCUUCUGGGUUGUCUCCCGUCUUUGUUCCCCAGCUCGGGGCCCCCACUUACAAUCGGCAACGCAUCCCCCCUGGACCACCAGCCCACAAGGACUUGGACACUGGGUGUCUACAUGGGAGGCCAUCCUGGGAAGGGUUUGGAUGGCGCUGCCCGGGGCCCUGGGAGUCAGGGUGGGGCAAGAUCCGUGGGUUGACCUCACCCACUGGGGCGGGGCACUGGCCAUGCAGCCUCUGUAAGGGUGGUAUCAGUUCGUGGGCGACGCCCCCUCCCAGCUCGGUGAAAAUGGAGCCUGAAGAAGCCAGGGACCCCCUUUGCAGCCCCUUCUGGGNNNNNNNNNNNNNNNNNNNNNNNNNNNUGGGGAGGUGGAGCCUGCGUCCUUAAACUGAUGGGGCGGACGCUGGCUACACCUACUGAGCAGAGGGUCGCUCUGGGAGUUUUGCUCAGGUGGGAUAUUAGGAGGCAGGACCCUGGAAAGUGCU
rnacentral:lncRNA from 1 species